GACGAACGCUGGCGGCGUGCUUAACACAUGCAAGUCGAGCGAUGAAGCUCCUUCGGGAGUGGAUUAGCGGCGGACGGGUGAGUAACACGUGGGUAACCUGCCUCAUAGAGGGGAAUAGCCUUUCGAAAGGAAGAUUAAUACCGCAUAAGAUUGUAGCCUCGCAUGAAGCAGCAAUUAAAGGAGUAAUCCGCUAUGAGAUGGACCCGCGUCGCAUUAGCUAGUUGGUGAGGUAACGGCUCACCAAGGCGACGAUGCGUAGCCGACCUGAGAGGGUGAUCGGCCACAUUGGGACUGAGACACGGCCCAGACUCCUACGGGAGGCAGCAGUGGGGAAUAUUGCACAAUGGGGGAAACCCUGAUGCAGCAACGCCGCGUGAGUGAUGACGGUCUUCGGAUUGUAAAGCUCUGUCAGCAAGGAAGAAAAUGACGGUACUUGACUAAGAAGCCCCGGCUAACUACGUGCCAGCCGCCGCGGUAA
rnacentral:rRNA from 1 species